rnacentral:rRNA from 1 species
UAGGGAAUCUUCGGCAAUGGGGGGAACCCUGACCGAGCAACGCCGCGUGAGUGAAGAAGGUUUUCGGAUCGUAAAGCUCUGUUGUUAAGGAAGAACGAGUGUGAGAAUGGAAAGUUCAUGCUGUGACGGUACUUAACCAGAAAGGGACGGCUAACUACGUGCCAGCAGCCGCGGUAAUACGUAGGUCCCGAGCGUUGUCCGGAUUUAUUGGGCGUAAAGCGAGCGCAGGCGGUUAGAAAAGUCUGAAGUGAAAGGCAGUGGCUCAACCAUUGUAGGCUUUGGAAACUGUUUAACUUGAGUGCAGAAGGUGGGAGGGGAAUUCCAUGUGUAGCGGGGAAAUGCGUAGAUAUAUGGAGGAACACCGGUGGCGAAAGCGGCUCGCUGGUCUAUAACUGACGCUGAGGCUCGAAAGCGUGGGGAGCGAACAGG